rnacentral:rRNA from 1 species
UACGUAGGCAGCGAGCGUUGUUCGGAAUUACUGGGCGUAAAGGGCUCGUAGGCGGCCAACUAAGUCGGAUGUGAAAUCCCCAGGCUUAACCUGGGAACUGCAUCCGAUACUGGAUGGCUUGAAUCCGGGAGAGGGAUGCGGAAUUCCAGGUGUAGCGGUGAAAUGCGUAGAUAUCUGGAGGAACACCGGUGGCGAAGGCGGCAUCCUGGACCGGCAUUGACGCUGAGGAGCGAAAGCCAGGGGAGCAAACGGG